UAAUUACUCCCUCCGUCCAGAAAUACUUGUCCUCGAAAUGGUUGUAGGACAAGUAUUUCCGGACGGAGGGAGUAUAUA
rnacentral:pre_miRNA from 1 species